AUUGAACGCUGGCGGCAGGCCUAACACAUGCAAGUCGAACGAGUGGCGGACGGGUGAGUAAUGUCUGGGAAACUGCCCGAUGGAGGGGGAUAACUACUGGAAAGGGUAGCUAAUACCGCAUACCAUCGGAUGUGCCCAGAUGGGAUUAGCUAGUAGGUGGGGUAACGGCGCACCUAGGCGACGAUCCCUAGCUGGUUUGAGGGGAUGACCGGCCACACUGGAACUGAGCAACGGGCCAGACUCCUACGGGAGGAAGGAGUGGGGAAUAUUGCACAAGUGGCGCAAGCGUGAAGCAGCCAUGCCGCGUGUAUGAAGAAGGCCUGCGGGUUGUAAAGUACUUUCAGCGUGGAGGCGUUACUCGCAGAAGAAGCACCGGCUAACUCCGUGCCAGCAGCCGCGGUAAUUC
rnacentral:rRNA from 1 species